rnacentral:tRNA from 1 species
GCGAGUAUGGAAGAAUUGGUAAAUUCAAUAGUUUUCCAAACUAUAUUUUACGGGUUCGAAUCCCGUUAUUCGCU